rnacentral:rRNA from 1 species
AGAGUUUGAUCCUGGCUCAGAUUGAACGCUGGCGGUAUGCUUAACACAUGCAAGUCGAACGGAAACGAUACUAGCUUGCUAGUAGGCGUCGAGUGGCGGACGGGUGAGUAACGCGUAGGGAUCUGCCUAACAAUGGGGGAUAGCCCGGUGAAAACCGGAUUAAUACCGCAUAAUCUCUACGGAGUAAAGGAGGCCUCUAUUUAUAAGCUUUCGCUAUCUGAUGAGCCCGCGGUGGAUUAGGUAGUUGGUGAGGUAAAGGCUCACCAAGCCGAUGAUCCAUAGCUGGUUUGAGAGAAUGACCAGCCACACUGGGACUGAGACACGGCCCAGACUCCUACGGGAGGCAGCAGUGGGGAAUCUUAGACAAUGGGGGCAACCCUGAUCUAGCCAUGCCGCGUGAGUGAAGAAGGCCUUAGGGUUGUAAAGCUCUUUCACCUGUGAGGAUGAUGACAGUAACAGGAUAAGAAGGACCGGCUAACUCCGUGCCAGCAGCCGCGGUAAGACGGAGGGUCCUAGCGUUGUUCGGAAUAACUGGGCGUAAAGCGCGCGCAGGCGGCUAUUUAAGUUGGAUGUGAAAGCCUACGGCUCAACCGUAGAACUGCAUCCAAAACUAUUUAGCUAGAGUGUGGGAGAGGAAGAUGGAAUUAGUUGUGUAGGGGGUAAAAUCCGUAGAUAUCACUAGGAAUACCGAAGGCGAAGGCGAUCUCCUGGAACAUUACUGACGCUAAGGCGUGAAAGCGUGGGGAGCAAACGGGAUUAGAUACCCCGGUAGUCCACGCCCUAAACGAUGAACACUAGUCGUCGGGAUGCUAGUCAUCUCGGUGAUGCACUUAACAGAUUAAGUGUUCCGCCUGGGGAGUACGGUCGCAAGAUUAAAACUCAAAGGAAUAGACGGGGACCCGCACAAGCGGUGGAGCAUGUGGUUUAAUUCGAUGCAACGCGAAAAACCUUACCUACCCUUGACAUCCUGCGAACUUUCUAGAGAUAGAUUGGUGCCUUUCGGGAAUUGAGUGACAGGUGCUGCAGGGCUGUCGUCAGCUCGUGUCGUGAGCUGUUGGGUUAAGUCCCGCAACGAGCGCAACCCUUGUCCUUAGUUGCCAGCGCGUAAUGGCGGGCUCUAAGGAAACUGCCGGUGACAAACCGGAGGAAGGUGGGGAUGACGUCAAGUCAUCAUGGCCCUUAUGGGUAGGGCUACACACGUGCUACAAUGGCCGGUACAGAGGGUCGCCAACCCGCGAGGGGGAGCUAAUCUCAGAAAACCGGUCGUAGUCCGGAUCGGAGUCUGCAACUCGACUCCGUGAAGUCGGAAUCGCUAGUAAUCGCGAAUCAGAAUGUCGCGGUGAAUACGUUCCCGGGCCUUGUACACACCGCCCGUCACCCCAUGGGAGUUGGCUGCACCAGAAGUAGGUUGUCUAACCUUCGGGAGGACGCUUACCACGGUGUGGUCAAUGACUGGGGUGAAGUCGUAACAAGGUAACC